rnacentral:rRNA from 1 species
GCCCUUAGAGUUUGAUCCUGGCUCAGGAUGAACGCUGGCGGCGUGCUUAACACAUGCAAGUCGAACGGAAAGGCCCUAGCUUGCUGGGGUGCUCGAGUGGCGAACGGGUGAGUAACACGUGGGUGAUCUGCCUCGUACUUCGGGAUAAGCCUGGGAAACUGGGUCUAAUACCGGAUAGGACCGCAUCGUAGGGGUGUGGUGGAAAGUUUUUUCGGUACGAGAUGAGCCUGCGGCCUAUCAGCUUGUUGGUGGGGUAAUGGCCUACCAAGGCGUCGACGGGUAGCCGGCCUGAGAGGGUGUACGGCCACAUUGGGACUGAGAUACGGCCCAGACUCCUACGGGAGGCAGCA